rnacentral:rRNA from 1 species
GAGUUUGAUCUUGGCUCAGAUUGAACGCUGGCGGCAAUGCCUUACACAUGCAAGUCGAACGGCAGCACGGGCUUCGGCCUGGUGGCGAGUGGCGAACGGGUGAGUAAUACAUCGGAACGUGCCCUGUUGUGGGGGAUAAACCAGUCGAAAGAUUGGCUAAUACCGCAUACGACCUGAGGGUGAAAGCGGGGGACCGCAAGGCCUCGCGACAGCAGGAGCGGCCGAUGUCUGAUUAGCUAGUUGGUGGGGUAAAGGCCCACCAAGGCGACGAUCAGUAGCUGGUCUGUAGAGGACGAUCAGCCACACUGGGACUGAGACACGGCCCAGACUCCUACGGGAGGCAGCAGUGGGGAAUUUUGGACAAUGGGGGCAACCCUGAUCCAGCAAUGCCGCGUGUGUG